AUACGUAGGGAGCGAGCGUUGUCCGGAAUUACUGGGCGUAAAGGGCGCGUAGGCGGCGCUUCAAGUCGUCUGUCAAAUGUGAGGGCUUAACCCUUUUUCGCAGACGAAACUGGAGAGCUUGGGAAGCAGAGAGGCAAACAGAAUUCCUGGUGUAGCGGUGAAAUGCAUAGAUAUCACUCAGAACACCGAUUGCGAAGGCAUCCGCCGAGGCCGUUACCGACGCUGAGGCACGAAAGCGUGGGGAUAGAACAGGAUUAGAUACCCGGGUAUUCCACGCCGUAAACGAUGAUGACUAACCGCCGGGGGGUAGACUUCCGGCAGCCAAGCGAAAGCGAUAAGUCAUCCACCUGGGGAGUACGGCCGCAAGGCUGAAACUCAAAUGAAUUGGCGGGG
rnacentral:rRNA from 1 species